GAUGAACGCUAGCUACAGGCUUAACACAUGCAAGUCGAGGGGAAACGACAUCGAAAGCUUGCUUUUGAUGGGCGUCGACCUGCGCACGGGUGAGUAACGCGUAUCCAACCUGCCCAUCACUUGGGAAUAACCUUGCGAAAGUAAGACUAAUACCCAAUGAUAUCCCACGAAGGCAUCGGAAUGGGAUUAAAGAUUUAUCGGUGAUGGAUGGGGAUGCGUCUGAUUAGCUUGUUGGCGAGGUAACGGCCCACCAAGGCAACGAUCAGUAGGGGUUCUGAGAGGAAGGUCCCCCACAUUAGAACUGAGACACGGUCCAAACUACUACGGGAGGCAGCAGUGAGGAAGAUUAGUCAAUGGGCGAGAGCCUGAACCAGACAAGUAGCGUGCAGGAAGACGGCCAUAUGGGUUGUAAACUGCUUUUAUAAGGGAAAAAAGUGGGUCACGUGUGACUUUUUGAAUGUACCUUAUGAAUAAAGACAGGCUAAUUCCGUG
rnacentral:rRNA from 1 species